GCAGAAUUAAAAUUAGUGUUUUAAGAAAUUCGUGUUACAAACCAAAUAAGAGAAUUGCAUACCAGGUCUGUAAUCUUAGUAGAGACAAACUUAUAUGCAUCCACUACAAGUUACGUGCAGACCAACAAACAUUUUUCUACUGUGAACCACCUCACUCCCUUUGAGGUGAUUCUUCAGUUGCCAUGGAGAAGUUGUAAAUUGGAAUGGAAGUAGAAACAGCCCAUAUUCAAGUUACCAGAGCCACCGGUCUCAAAGGACUUGGCAGUGUCAUAGCCACUGACAGAUGAAGUGCAUAUAUUUGGUGAUCUGAUGGCU